GGCCAUUAGCUCAGGCGGUAGAGCACCUGACUUUUAAUCAGGGUGUCGGUGGUUCGAAUCCACCAUGGCUCACCAA
rnacentral:tRNA from 1 species